GAUAGACGCUAGCGGCAGGCCUAAUACAUGCAAGUCGGACGGGAUCCAUCGGAGAGCUUGCUCGAAGAUGGUGAGAGUGGCGCACGGGUGCGUAACGCGUGAGCAACCUACCUCUAUCAGGGGGAUAGCCUCUCGAAAGAGAGAUUAACACCGCAUAACAUCAACAGUUCGCAUGUUCGGUUGAUUAAAUAUUUAUAGGAUAGAGAUGGGCUCGCGUGACAUUAGCUAGUUGGUAGGGUAACGGCUUAACAAGGCGCCGAUCUCUAGGGGCUCUAGGAUGAGACUCCCCCACACUGGUACUGGAGCACUGACCAUACUCCUACGGUAGGCAGCAGUAAGGAAUAUUGGUCUAUGGGCGGAAGCCUGACCCAGCCUUUCCGCGUGCAGGAUGACUGCCCUAUGGGUUGUAAUCUGCUUUUGUCCAGGAAUAAACCCAGAUACGUGUAUCUGGCUGAAUGUACUGGAAGAAUAAGGAUCGGCUAACUCCGUGCCAGCAGCCGCCGUAAGAC
rnacentral:rRNA from 1 species